UUUGUACUCCUUCCAUCCCAAAAUUCUUGUCUUAGGUUUGUCUAGAAAUGUAUGUAUCUAAAUACUAAAGCACGACUAGAUACAUUCAUAUCUAGACAAAUCUAAGACAAUUUUUUUGGGACGGAGGUAGUGUUAA
rfam:Hordeum vulgare subsp. vulgare, WGS project CAJW01000000 data, contig: morex_contig_140098